UCCUCCUUCCCCGCAUUAGGGCAGGGAAGCAGCUUGCAUUUACCAGCUCAAGGAGGGAAUGAUAAACCUCAAAAACCAGAACCCUGGAUAUAAACGACAGGUGGGGGAGAACUGGGGAUGAGUGACCCCUCUCCCACCUCGGAACCAGACAGAGACUUCCCAGGCGAGGCAGGCAGAAGAAGGCACAGAAGGAGGCUGCAUGCCACAGUCCCUCCAAGAUGCAAGGGUGAAGUGCUUGAAGCUGGUCUUCUGUCUCCCAUUUUGAACACUUUGAUGCUGGUGUCGCCAGGCUUUUCAGCAUUAUCAAGAGACUUGGUGGUUUUUCAGCCAGCACGGCGGCUCACGCCUGUAAUCUCAGCACUUUGGGAGGCCAAGGUGGGUGGGUCACCUGAGGUCAGGAGUUUGAGACCAGCCUGGCCAACAUGGUGAAAACCCGUCUCUACUAAAAAUACAAAACUAGCUGGGUGUGGUGGCGCACGUCUGUAGUCCCAGCUACUCGGGAGGCUGAGACAGGAGAAUAGCUUGAACCUGGGAGGCAGAGGCUGCAGUGAGCAGAGAUCACACCAGUGCACUCCAGCCUGGGUAAGACAGAGCUUGCACAGUAUGCUGCAGACAGAAUGAUGACCAAACCCAUCCCUACCUUAGAAGCCUAGUCUGGCAGAAGACAGACGUCUCGCAGCCAGUUACAACAGAAGGCAGUGACGGGCACGUUAUUCAUAGCUGGCAUCUCUCUGGAGCCCCACCUUUCUGCCAGGUCCCAAGCAUUCCUGACUCCACUCAAUUCCCGGAACUUUCCAAGGCCCAGUUUCCUUGGUCAUCUUCAUUUUCCAGUUCACAGACAUGGAAACUGAGGAUCAGAGGGGAAUGCACUUUGCUCAAGAUCACCCAACGAAUCCAUGGCAGGGCUGGGAUUCCCGAGCCUGGAGCUCCUAACCUGCUUUCCCUGCUUUGUCACCAUCAGAAACAUCUGUGAAAUGGGCACAAUCAGAAGUGGCUGUGAACAAUCUGUGAACAAAGUCAUCACCCCCUAUCCAACAGAAGGAGAGACGUUUCUUUAAUAAUGAAUUAAAAGCCAGAAGGGGUGAAAAUGAAUGUUCAUCCAGCUCUUACUGUAUGCCAGGAUGGUUUUCAUGUCAAUUUCAUAUUAACUUGUUCUUCUGUAUGUUCCCCAGAUUUUACAAGGUGGGGAUGAUCUUUUCAUUUCACCGAUGGGGCAGCAGACGCAGAAAGGUGAAUGAAGUCUGCACUGUGGCGAGUAGCAGAGCUGGAGCAUGAGCCUGAACCUGUCCUGAUCUGAGGACCUCCUCUCACCAUCGCUCCUUUCUGCCCCAUGCUAACCGGGCACACUUAGCGUUCCUUCAAACCCUGCUCAGUCUGCAGAUGAGAUGCAUUAUUAAUACAGUUGACCCUUAAACAACACAGGGUUAAGGGUGCUGAUCCCCCCACUGCGCACAGACACAAAUCUGCAUAUAACUUUUUACUCCUCAAAACUUAACAGCCAAUAGCCUAAUGUUGACCAGAAGCAUUACUGAGAACAUAAACUGUGGGAUAACACAUAUUUUGGAAUAUAUAUAUAUAUACACAUAUAUGUAUAUAUAUAUGUGUGUGUGUAUAUAUAUAUAUAUAAUGUACCAUAUUCUUACAAUAAAAA